UUUUGGGGCUUAUUGACGUUGACGUCGUUAUCGAGAAAAUGCGAGAUUUGUUUACGUCUUUUAUUUUGGUAAGCAAUUCGACGUGUAAGCUUAGAAAAAAUACUUGUAAACUGUCAAAAAAUGAUUUGUCAAUACUUUGAAAUAAUGUGAGACUUAUUAAAAUCUCCAGCGACUCUCAUUUCGUGGUUUGCAACCGGUGACAACUGAAUUUUCACAAAAUAUUGAUUAUUCUGAGCGACCUAUUACGUCAUGUAAAAACGGUGUAUUUUCGGUACUGCACCAAGAAUGUUCUGGAAAUGCGUCUAUUUAUGUUAGUUUAGACGAUUCACUGAUGGUUUAAUGUUGAUGUUAGAUUUGUACGUAACAUUUUUGAGUUGUGCAGUCCACCAUGCACUCUUGAUGUUGAAUACCAUUAUCCCUGGGAUUUUGCUCAGCAGGUGCAUUAUCCACAUCAUAUACAACAAGUUGGACCAGUUUAUUUCCGUACCCUAAGGAAGCGCCAUGUGUUUGGUGUGCAGAAGGAUCAGGCAAACAGACUUUUAUUUUAUUGAUGAAAGUCAGUGCACUGGAAAAGGAGUGGAAGGUGCGGUGUCUAGGGCUCAUCAUUAUUUGCAGUUCUAUAUCAUAGGAGAAAAACAUGCACAGAUACAUUUCCAUAAUGCAGAUUGGCAGAACAAAAACAACUAUGUCAUUUGGUUUGCAGUUAUGGAGCACUUUAAUAGGACUACAUGAGACUGUUGCAAUGAGUAUUUUGGUGACAGGGCACAGGUGCUUCAACCAAAAUUAGCAUUCUGAUGUAUAGAAAGUGAAGUGGAGAGAUCCUGAUGCAUAAACUAUGACCCAAAUGGCUGACACUGUGAGACAAUCAUCAAAAGGGGGUCACAAUGUUCCACAAGCAGUUGAUAAUCCUGGAACACCUGUUGUUUUUUACAGCUUGAGGCAAUUUCUUGAACAGUAUUUUAAACCAGUUUAACAGUUGUCUAAAUACCAACAUUUCUUUGUCAGUUCAGUUGAACCGGGUGUUGUAAUAUGUUGCAAAGACUAUUUUAAUUCUGAAGAAGUUGAAGUAACUAUACUGAAGCAAGUGCCCGAUAAAAAUGCUAUGCUUGUAGUAAAAGCUUUUUCAGGUUUAAAUGUGGCCCGUCAGUGAUAUUUGUCUUAAAAUUUUUGAGAUUGCUUCUUAACACACUGUUUUGAUUUUCUAUCCAUAUUAUUCAGUUUUUUUUUCAAGUCCGUUUAUUUUGCAGAUUUCGAGCAUAGAAUGAUAUACUAAUAAUGCUUUAGAAAUGGUAAAAUAUUUUAUAGUUGCUAGGCAACAGAACAUAUGUUGUCAAUUUUUUGUGGAUAUUGUUUUGCUUUAAUUCUUGUUAGAUUCUGAACACUCAGUUAUAUGAAAAUACUAUGUUGUUGAGGGUUUUUAAAAAGAUGAUUAAACCAUCAUAACUGUGAUUCGAAGACACUGUGAAAUUCCGUUUGCAAAUGCAAUUUUACGUAAUGAUUUUUUUUAUUUGUUAAAGAAAAGUUAUUUUGCCUUCAAAAUACCUUCUUAUUUUAGAUAGAAAUCUUCAAGUCUGCUUCCUGAAACAUUGUUUAGAUUUUUGAUGAAGAUUAUUUCAUAUUACAAAACAUUUUUAUCAUCAUUCAAGGGUAGACAGCUAUAAAACAACCAGAAGAGAUGAAAUAUUCUCUGGUUGCUAGGCAACAGGAAGAAUCAUUAAAGUUUUAGACAUUUUUUAAUGAUAACUCUUUGGUUGAUAGUUCUUUGCUUAUAUGCAUAUUUUACAACCAAAUUUUUAACACCACACCUUCAUUUUAAAUUAAUGUCAAUAUGCUAGCAAUAUUCUGUAGGAAAUUGAAAUUGAAGUAAAAUUUUGAAAAGAGACUUUCCUGUCAGAUGUCUGUAUAACUUCAAAACUUUUCAAUAGAAUGACUUGAAUUUUUCAAGACUGUCUGUUUGUAAGUUUUGUUUACAUUUUCAUUUGAUCUUUAAAUGAAAGCAAAUGUUUAGGUCAACUUAUAAGUCUUAAAACCUAAAAAACAUGGAAAUUGUGAAAAAUCCCAUUGUUGCUAAGCAACAGAAAUAUUGAGGUCGCUGUUUUGUAACUAUAUUUGUGCUUUAUUAUCAUAGUUUUAUUUCAUAUAGCCAUAUUUGCAAAGAAAGCACAGUUAAGGGCUUGUAAAACAUUGAAGAUUAAUAUUACUAGGUGCGGGAAAUUUUGUAAAAAGAGCCUGUUUGCAGAUGAAAUAUUUUGCACAUUGUCUAUGUAUUAAAAUAUUUUUUUCUUCAAAAUCACUUUAUAUAUUGCCCAGAAAAUUUCAUGACUGUUUAGAUAGAGAAUGUUAUUACCCAUUUUGAAAUGAAAUUUCAUUUGUGACAUAAUUACACUUAAAUUAUUGUCAUGUAUAGCUUAAAAAGUAAGAAAAAUGGAAUAUUUUCUGGUUGCU
rnacentral:lncRNA from 1 species